rnacentral:rRNA from 1 species
UAGGGAAUCUUCGGCAAUGGACGAAAGUCUGACCGAGCAACGCCGCGUGAGUGAAGAAGGUUUUCGGAUCGUAAAACUCUGUUGUUAGAGAAGAACAAGGACGUUAGUAACUGAACGUCCCCUGACGGUAUCUAACCAGAAAGCCACGGCUAACUACGUGCCAGCAGCCGCGGUAAUACGUAGGUGGCAAGCGUUGUCCGGAUUUAUUGGGCGUAAAGCGAGCGCAGGCGGUUUCUUAAGUCUGAUGUGAAAGCCCCCGGCUCAACCGGGGAGGGUCAUGGGAAACUGGGAGACUUGAGUGCAGAAGAGGAGAGUGGAAUUCCAGGUGUAGCGGUGAAAUGCGUAGAUAUAUGGAGGAACACCAGUGGCGAAGGCGGCUCUCUGGUCUGUAACUGACGCUGAGGCUAGAAAGCGUGGGGAGCAAACAGG